AGAGUUUGAUCCUGGCUCAGGAUGAACGCUAGCGACAGGCUUAACACAUGCAAGUCGAGGGGCAGCACAGGUAGCAAUACCGGGUGGCGACCGGCGCACGGGUGAGUAACGCGUAUGCAACUUACCUAUCAGAGGGGGAUAACCCGGCGAAAGUCGGACUAAUACCGCAUGAAGCAGGGGCCCCGCAUGGGGAUAUUUGCUAAAGAUUCAUCGCUGAUAGAUAGGCAUGCGUUCCAUUAGGCAGUUGGCGGGGUAACGGCCCACCAAACCGACGAUGGAUAGGGGUUCUGAGAGGAAGGUCCCCCACAUUGGUACUGAGACACGGACCAAACUCCUACGGGAGGCAGCAGUGAGGAAUAUUGGUCAAUGGGCGUAAGCCUGAACCAGCCAAGUCGCGUGAGGGAUGAAGGUUCUAUGGAUCGUAAACCUCUUUUAUAAGGGAAUAAAGUGUGGGACGUGUCCCGUUUUGUAUGUACCUUAUGAAUAAGGAUCGGCUAACUCCGUGCCAGCAGCCGCGGUAAUACGGAGGAUCCGAGCGUUAUCCGGAUUUAUUGGGUUUAAAGGGUGCGUAGGCGGCCUUUUAAGUCAGCGGUGAAAGUCUGUGGCUCAACCAUAGAAUUGCCGUUGAAACUGGGGGGCUUGAGUAUGUUUGAGGCAGGCGGAAUGCGUGGUGUAGCGGUGAAAUGCUUAGAUAUCACGCAGAACCCCGAUUGCGAAGGCAGCCUGCCAAGCCAUGACUGACGCUGAUGCACGAAAGCGUGGGGAUCAAACAGGAUUAGAUACCCUGGUAGUCCACGCAGUAAACGAUGAUCACUAGCUGUUUGCGAUACAGUGUAAGCGGCACAGCGAAAGCGUUAAGUGAUCCACCUGGGGAGUACGCCGGCAACGGUGAAACUCAAAGGAAUUGACGGGGGCCCGCACAAGCGGAGGAACAUGUGGUUUAAUUCGAUGAUACGCGAGGAACCUUACCCGGGUUUGAACGCAUUCGGACCGAGGUGGAAACACCUUUUCUAGCAAUAGCCGUUUGCGAGGUGCUGCAUGGUUGUCGUCAGCUCGUGCCGUGAGGUGUCGGCUUAAGUGCCAUAACGAGCGCAACCCUUGCCACUAGUUACUAACAGGUGAUGCUGAGGACUCUGGUGGGACUGCCAGCGUAAGCUGCGAGGAAGGCGGGGAUGACGUCAAAUCAGCACGGCCCUUACAUCCGGGGCGACACACGUGUUACAAUGGCGUGGACAAAGGGAAGCCACCUGGCGACAGGGAGCGAAUCCCCAAACCACGUCUCAGUUCGGAUCGGAGUCUGCAACCCGACUCCGUGAAGCUGGAUUCGCUAGUAAUCGCGCAUCAGCCAUGGCGCGGUGAAUACGUUCCCGGGCCUUGUACACACCGCCCGUCAAGCCAUGGGAGCCGGGGGUACCUGAAGUCCGUAACCGCGAGGAUCGGCCUAGGGUAAAACUGGUGACUGGGGCUAAGUCGUAACAAGGUAGCCGUACCGGAAGGUGCGGCUG
rnacentral:rRNA from 1 species